rnacentral:rRNA from 1 species
GACGAACCGUGCGAACGUUGUUCGGAAUCACUGGGCUUAAAGGGCGCGUAGGCGGCAGUUCAAGUCCGGGGUGAAAUCCUCCAGCUCAACUGGAGAAGUGCCUUGGAUACUGGAUUGCUCGAGGGAGGUGAGGGGUCGAGGGAACUUCUGGUGGAGCGGUGAAAUGCGUUGAUAUCAGAAGGAACGCCGGUGGCGAAAGCGCUACGA